CCAGAUGAUCGACGCUGAACAAACUGAGCGUUUUAUUCUCUUUGAAUUUAUUAAAAGAGAAUUCAAGCCAGGAAACUGAUCCAU
rnacentral:snoRNA from 1 species